GAUGAGCAGAAGAGUUUGAAUGGAUUUUCCCAACUGGAAUGCAAGUAGUGUCUUUGGCAAUAACAAUUUCCAACCUAAGCGCCACGCAGCAGAAUCUAAACCGACGGCGAGGUGCUCUCAAAUAAAACGGGACAUCAGACAGAUUUUAUUUUCCUAAACUGCAUAUAUGGUAGGAAAGGAUUGAAACUUCAGAAGGUGAUUUCAAACAUUAGCAGUUUGCUGAUAACCAGCGCAAGAAUGAACCUGGAGUCAACCAAUACUUCUAUCCCAUUGAAAAAGAUCGCCUAUAGAGAUAGUGAUCAUGGUGAUAGUGCAUAUACAUCCUGAGCCACGACUGGAAUUUGAUGUAGCCUGGUCAGUCAGCGAGGAAUGGAGCAGGUUUUCAUCAGGGGUUGAGGUGAUGGCGGGUACAGGUGGAUAGGAAAAUGUUCUUUGGAAGGCAUCUGUAUCAUUACUUUACGGUGAGAUGAGGUCCGACGUCGCUUUUGACCAGCCAAUCCGAGAGGACCCAUCGGUUUUACCAGGACAGUAGGAUGUAGAUGGUGGACUUCAAUCGAUGAAUAUACCAAGUCGUUUCUAUGGUUUGAAAGUUCAUCCGAUGCAGUCUCAUCAUGGUGAGGGGUGAUCCCGGGGAGUGAUCAAGGAUCCAGUUGGUCUUCAGCCGGCCCGAGACCGAAGACUUUUGUUACAUGCCGGAAACCCCAACAAACAUAAUUGAAAGAAAAGAGGAAAAUCAAACGAGCAGAACUAUGAAAACUUCAUCAACAUCGGAUGUAAAAUAAGAAAGUUAUCACAAAACAUUUAUCGACCAAUCACUAUUUCUUUUGUUAUGAUUUUAUUUCAUGAAAUAUGACAUGUCUUAAUUUCUCAUACUGUGAAUCAAGGCUUGAUUCCUCCUUGAAAAUGAGGGAUUUUCAUAAUUAAAUUGUAAUUCAUUAAGACAAUUUCUUGGCAAAUCUGCACAAUUUGAAAUAUUCAAUAUUUCAUUUCAUAAAACACAAAAGAAAUAGUGAGUGGGUGAAGUGGCCUACAUCACUGAUUCUCUUAUUUGCAUAUCACUUUGUUGUGCAAUGAAUGCAUUUUUUUUUCUAAAAUAAGCAUCAUUAUGCUCGUUUGAUAUUUCUCUUUAUUAAAAUCCACUUUUUAUUUGGGGUGGACUUAUCCUUUGAAUAUUACAAUAUGAUUCGUUGGAACAAAACAGGCCUAUUUCAAAAGAAAUAUUUGCACGCGUUAACUUGAGCGGGGUGCAGAAAACGAAAAAAAAUAUAUAUAUAAAGGAGGAAAGCAAGAAAAAUCCGAAUGCCGAAAGUAAAGCAUAAGAAAUGAAGCUUUGAGAGUUUAAAAUUCAACAUUAUUUUAGCACAGUCGCCUUGCUCUCUCGCAAGAUUUUUCCUUUCAGGAUCUCAAAAGAUUUUACAGGAAUUGUGGGUUAAGAUUUAAUCUAUAACUUUGAUAAAGUGUAGGCCUCUAUUAUUUGCCAGUUUCUGCUCCGUAUAUCUGUUAAAAUAAUAAUGAAAAAUACAGAACAAAGAGUUUUUGACAAUCUCUACCUCUUAAUUUCAAUGUUUUACUUAUCUAUUGCUCUUUGCGCAUAAAGCACAGGAAAUUGCGUUUCGUGGAUAAAAAUUUGAAUUAUCCCCUGAUAUACAGUAAGCUUUACGUUGUCAAAAAGAAAUCUUUCAAAGAAAUUGCGCGUCGAGUUCGAAAAACAAAAUUGUUUCAAUGUUUUGCGUGUAAUGGUAUCUCACACAGCCUUAGUUAAGAAUGAAAUAUGGGAGGCAUAUUUUCUAAAAUGCGAUUUCUGUUAAUUCGAAUUGGUAUAAGUUCCUCAGCAAAUGAUAUUUGGGUUAUAUUUGUGAAUUCAUUAUUUUGCCUGGGAGCCAUUUCAUAAGCCGUUCCUGAGUUACGGAUGACUUUACACAAGACUGUUGACCUUUUCUUGUGCAAAUGGUUGAUCCCUAGGAAGCUGACUUGGCACUUGAAAACAUGUUCCAGUCUUUUGUAAAAUCGUGCGUAACUUACAAACAGCUUUAUGAAACGACACCCAGGACCAUUGAUUAGUAAAUUAUCGUGUUACACCUUCUUUUGUGUAUUUGUAUUUAUUCUCGUACCGGUUUCAUGUAAAACUUGUUCCCCCCUCUCGAUCUCCCUCAUAAUUGUUGUAUUUCCAUGAUCACUAAACUUUGUAAUUUCCCAUUAUAUUCUAUAUUGCUGAAGAUAUCUCUCUAUCUCUCCACCUCUACCCAUCUACUUGUCACUGCUAAUUUGCAUUUAUCAUUUUAAUGCUUUCCUUCUUGGUAAAUCCUCUCAACUUUCUUUCACGACCGAUUACAACUGCCCCCUCACUCCUUCGUGUUAUAUGAAUUUCCUUUCAACCCCUUCUUCAUUUUUCUAUCUAUCAUUAAUAUAAAACGCAAACCUUAUUGCAUUAUCCCCCUCAAAAUUAACCCCUCAUCAAGUAUUCACCCUCUAUCCCUCUUCACAUUCAAAUCCACCUUGAACGCCCCAUUUCAUAUCUCAUCCCCUUUCUCAUUCUUGACGGAUUUUCAGCGAUCUUUCAGCUCUUCUCAUUUUAAUUCACUUUUUAAAUAUUCUUAGUCUUUUGAUAUUUGUCUAUAACUCUGGCUCAAUCACAUCCAACCGGACCCACGACUCGGUCAUUCUACUUGGUUAAACAAUCUUAUCAUCCCAUACCUUCUCUGUGACAACUUUUCUCUAUUUUCCAUUCCCUCUCUCCCUCUAACUCCCCUCUCUAGUCUCUACCCCCAUUUUCACUGACCUCUUGGAAAAUGAGUGAAUUUCACGAAAUGCAUUGAUAAAUCUGAUCUAAUAAUCACUUCAGCAAUAGAACUAAACAAACUUCCGAUUAUCCUUUUGAAAACUUUGAAGAAGACUAACCUUAAGCAGCGCCAAUUUGAAAUAUUUAUUCUUGCUUUGUGAAUUCCAUACUAUGUUCCAUAUGUAUUGUGUCAUUCAAUGCAUUGAUUACUAUUACAAAAUACAAAUUGAAUCUGUGAUGAAAUAUGCAGCACAUUUUCGGAAAAUACUAUUCAAGUAAAUCUAAACUGGUAUCGAUUUCAAAAUAUUUUCAAAAAAAUUAUUUUCAUUUUCUGAAGUUCACUCUUGUAAAAUAAAAUAAAAUAAAACCUGGAAUGUUGCAAAGUGCAUUGUUAUUGAGGUGUUCACUAAUACUAAACAAUUUACUCAUGAUUUUUCUUUUGGAUUUAUGGACAAAAAGUGGAUUUUACCAAGUUUACUUUCAUUUGUGUUGAUAAUGAAUAUUUACUCUCAAAAUGACAUAAUGCAGUAUUUACAGUGAUUAUAAUUAUCUUUUUUUAAGGACACAUUGUCCAUCAAUUCCAAUCCAUUUUGCAACAUUUUACCAAGACUAGAAUCUGGGAGGAGUCUGUGUGUGUGUGUGUGUGUGGGGGGGGGGGGGCUAGUUGAAGGUUAUUUGGCUUGUACAGUGCAAAAAAGAGUAAUCCAAAUCAUGAGGGUCUAUGACACAGAAAAGAAAUCCCUUGGUGUAUAUUGAUAGUGAUCACUAUGUUAAGGCAUAAAUUUAAAUUUAAUCAUGGCCUUUCUUCUCAAAACUCAAAAGAUGAAUAUUGUACCAGGAAAAUAUAGGCCUACUUAGAAAUUUCCUUCGAAAAAAAGGAAUUAUACGAUAAACAAUUAAAAUAUACAUUAGCCUUCUAAAUUUGGUUUACGUUCUGCACACUGUACAGUAGCCAUGACAACCUAAAAGCUGAUAUUCUGAAAAUCAUGUUAUGUUUUGUAUUACAUUUUCUGUAUUCUGGAUUAACUGCCAUGAAUUCAAAAAUUGGAUUUUAUGGUUACUUAAAAAAAUCACUAUGUCAGCCAAUAACAAACAUGCUAGCAAAGAUACAAACGUUAAGAUAACACAAUUUUUAGAAUACCAGCCCUGGGCCCUGUUGCAUAAAAAUUAAUAUAAAAUAGUGAUACGGAUCCUUAGAAGAUGAUUGGCUCAACAAAUCUAUCACAUGACCAGUUACACAAUUUAGCUAAUAAGAAAAAUUGCUAGUGGUAUUGGUAUUGAGACAGUAUCACAAGGCACCCGGGGCGAUGGGCGAUUUUGCCCCUGAAAUGUUCAAAAGGGCCCAUUAACUGCACUGUGAAAGCGUUCAGUAUCCAAUAUUGCAGAUUUAUGCAGUUGUGAAAAUAGCCCCUAAAAAUUAAAAAUAAUUUUGCCUGUAUUGAAAUGAGGAAGAUUUAUAAAAAAAUAGGGAUCCACAUCUCUAUUUUAUAUAAAACAUAAUACACAUCAAUUUGCUUGGGCAUAAGAAUAAUUACCUUGUAAUUUGUUACCUUUGAGACAGUCCAAAUGCCCUCAGCUCCGCCUCGGGCAUGUUAGAACUGUUCCGAAGGUAUCUUGUGUGUGUAAUUCCUAUUAAUGCCCUUGAUGUGUAAUGUAUACUAUUUAAGUGAUUUUGCCAU